UUGAACGUUCGGGGUUUACCCAUUGGUCAGGCUUAAUUGUCUGUACUGGUGAGAUAAUCUCUACCUUCUGAGGAACUUUCAUGUCAUUAAUUUGGUGUGAUUGGAAAUCAGGACUGUUACUUUAGAAAAAUUAGAGUGUUUAAAGCAGGCUAACGUCUGAAUACAUUAGCAUGGAAUAAUGAAAUAGGACGGAUUGAUUCUAUUUCGUUGGUUUCUAGGAUCACCGUAAUGAUUAAUAGGGAUAGUUGGGGGCAUUAGUAUUCAAUUGUCAGAGGUGAAAUUCUUGGAUUUAUUGAAGACUAACUACCGCGAAAGCAUUUGCCAAGGAUGUUUUCAUUAAUCAAGAACGAAAGUUAGGGGAUCGAAGACGAUCAGAUACCGUCGUAGUCUUAACCAUAAACUAUGCCGACUAGGGAUCGGACGAAGUUAAUUUUAUAAUGACGC
rnacentral:rRNA from 1 species